rnacentral:lncRNA from 1 species
GCGUGCGGGGACGGCAGCUUCAGCGUCACGAAGGCCCAGCUUCGACCCCGCCCGCGGUGCCUAGGCGCCCAGAGCCUGCGCCGGCCGGCGGGAACAGGAUGGCAGCAAGGGGGGCCGGACAGGCUCCACUGGGCGGAGCGGCCCUGGCGGCGGUUGGGACCUGAAGGUUCCAUCGCACUUACUUCCUGUUUUGGGUCCGGGCACUUUGGAAGAACCAGGAUGGAGGCUCCAAAAAAUACCAGGAUGGAGGAAGCAGCCACGGGCAAGAGUGGCUGCAGCUGGAGUGAGCGAGCGCGACAAGCCACCGGAAACGGAGCUACGGCCGCGCCCCGCCCCCAGCCUCCGCACGCUCCCCCUCCCGCCCUCCGCUCCCUCGGGACUGCUGUGCGUUUUGGCUGCUCGCGUCACUUCCGGCAAGGCCACAGAUCCUAAAGUUUAUUGUUCCAUUUCAUGUUAAAGCAACCUCCCGAGUUUUGCUAAAAUUCCGGCUCCCUGUUGAUGAGAGAAAACCUGGGUAGUAAUUUCCUUUUACUUCAGCAUUUCUCCAUGGAAACAUCUGAAUCAACAUGUAUAACUUCUUUAACGGCUGUGAUGUAGAUUACCACCCAACCUCUACCAUGUCAUAAUCUGUACUGUUUCCAGAUUGCCAAAGUAAUUAGCCUGGUGGUGUUGCCAUACUAUUCAGUGACAUUUUAUGACUAUAAUUAAAUAGUGUCAACUUCUUUUUUCCAUCAGCAAAGUGUAAAAUAAAG